rnacentral:rRNA from 1 species
UACAGAGGUCUCGAGCGUUAGGCGGAAUCACUGGGCUUAAAGCGUGUGUAGGCGGAUCGUUAAGUACCUUGUGAAAAUCCCACGGCUUAACCGUGGAACUGCUUGGUAUACUGGCGGUCUUGAGCCAGCUAGGGGCUACCGGAACAAAUGGUGGAGCGGUGAAAUGCGUAGAUAUCAUUUGGAACGCCAAUGGUGAAAACAGGUAGCUGGGGCUGUGCUGACGCUGAGACACGAAAGCCAGGGGAGCAAACGGG